AACGAACGCUGGCGGCAUGCCUAACACAUGCAAGUCGAACGAGACCUUCGGGUCUCGUGGCGCACGGGUGCGUAACGCGUGGGAACCUGCCCUUAGGUUCGGAAUAACUCCCCGAAAGGGGUGCUAAUACCGGAUCAUGUCUUCGGACCAAAGAUUUAUCGCCUUUGGAUGGGCCCGCGUUGGAUUAGCUAGUUGGUAGGGUAAAAGCCUACCAAGGCGACGAUCCAUAGCUGGUCUGAGAGGAUGAUCGGCCACACUGGGACUGAGACACGGCCCAGACUCCUACGGGAGGCAGCAGUGGGGAAUAUUGGACAAUGGGCGAAAGCCUGAUCCAGCAAUGCCGCGUGAGUGAUGAAGGCCUUAGGGUUGUAAAGCCCUUUUACCCGGGAUGAUAAUGACAGUACCGGGAGAAUAAGCACCGGCUAACUCCGUG
rnacentral:rRNA from 1 species